CUACGGGUGGCUGCAGUGAGGAAUAUUGCACAAUGGAGGAAACUCUGAUGCAGCAACGCCGCGUGGAGGAUGACGCAUUUCGGUGUGUAAACUCCUUUUAUAUGUCAAGAAAAUGACGGUAGCAUAUGAAUAAGCUCCGGCUAACUCCGUGCCAGCAGCCGCGGUAAUACGGAGGGAGCAAGCGUUACUCGGAAUCACUGGGCGUAAAGGACGCGUAGGCGGGAUAGAAAGUCAGGUGUGAAAUCCUAUGGCUCAACCAUAGAACUGAACUUGAAACUUCUAACCUAGAGUAUGGGAGGGGAAGAUGGAAUUAGUGGUGUAGGGGUAAAAUCCGUAGAUAUCACUAGGAAUACCUAAAGCGAAGGCGAUCUCCUGGAACAUUACUGACGCUAAGGCGUGAAAGCGUGGGGAGCAAACAGGAUUAGAUACCCGCGUAGUC
rnacentral:rRNA from 1 species